rfam:Asticcacaulis sp. YBE204 contig00016, whole genome shotgun sequence.
GCGGGCGUAGCUCAGCGGUAGAGCGCAACCUUGCCAAGGUUGAUGUCGAGAGUUCGAUCCUCUUCGCCCGCU